AAAGAUUAUCUUAAUGCAUCUGCCAAAACCAUGAGAUGCGUAGAACACCCAACUUAUAUUACUCCAACCCUCCCCGCCAUUUCCAAACACUGCCAACAUCCAUCUUUCGAGGUGGAGAUACAGUCCAAAGAGAGCCAUGGGAGUUGCCAUUAGGAUCAUGAGGAGAUCCAUCAAUGCCUUCUUCCAUGACUACCACUGUUUCACCUCCAUUGCUAUUCUCCUUGUCUUCCCUGCUUCAGCCUCCCUCCUCCUUUCCCAGGCACCAAUCCCUUACUCCACGACAGUCCUCGAGACCAUCUCGUCCCGCCUGCGGUCGCUGUUCCAGGCCGCGAGGUUUCCCGUCACCUCCACAUUCUUCUCCCUUCUCAACGUGAAGCUCGCACAAACGGGCUUCUCCUUCGUCUUCACGCUGCCGUUCGUCCUCACCUUCUUGCUCCUCGCAAAAGCAUCCAUAAUUCACAACGUCUGCGGCGGCCCUCGCCGCAAACGAGCCCCGCCUCGCCUCUCUUCGGCCCUCCGCCUCUACCGCUCGAUCCUCCCGACGCACCUCUUCAACUCCUGCCUCGUUCUGUCCGCCAACGCCAGCGUUUUCGCCUUCUUGUCCGUCGUGUCCAACGCAGUGGACGUUCUCGGCCUCUCGACGAGCAACUCCAUGCUUGUUCUCUCUGCCGCUGGUGCUGUUCUCUACUCCAUCGUCGUUGCCAACACGACGGUGAUCUGCAGCCUGGCGAUCGUCGUCUCUGCGACGGACAACUGCCGCGGCUACAUCCCAGUCCUCAAGGCCUGCAUGCUCAUCAGGGGAAGGGUCAAGACUGCGUUAUCCCUGGCCUUGUCUGCCAACCUGGGAGUGGCCGCAGUUGAAGCUUUGUUUCAGUAUAGGGUGGUGAGGCAAUACGAUCUUUCGGGGAAAAUGAAUUCAUCUCUUCUCUGGGAGGCACUCUACAUCUCUUACGUCCAUGCUCUCCUUGUUGCACUCGAGGUGAUCAUGAACUGCAUGUUCUUCAAGAGCUGUCAAACAGAUUGCUGCUCCAACUGGAAGAAUGGGUAUGACCGUCAAGAAAAGUUAGAACCAGAAGAGAGCUUAUGAUUCCCAUGCUUUGGAAUAAAUGUUGUCAAGCUAAGAUCAAAUUCCCGUAAUGGUUAAGCGAUAGUUUGCCUCAAAGGAAUUGAUGUUCCAUAUGUUUUUUCCUGUUCAUAAGGUGUCAGCUCGAGACAUUUAAUGGAAACAGCAAAGCAGCUCAGGGCGCAGAUGUUGUGAACGGCUCAGCAAUCCUACAAAACUCCUGUUUGUACUAGUGUGCUUGAUACCCUGGAAUCCUGAAUGCCAAGCCUGACUUGUUAGAGCAACUCAGAGUUCCGUAGCAUCAGGGUUGAGACAUGGAAGACUGGAUUGAUCGAACACAACAACUUGCAUAUACUCUGUAAUCACCAUAUAGUCCAUGAGGAUAGAAAAGAAGCUUGCCCUGUUCUUGGAUCACCAAGCCAUGGAGUCUCCAGCAAUCAGAAAAGAAGCAACAAUGACAGUAUAAAACCAAGAACAUAGUUGGAUUUAGAAGAUGAAGAUUGCUCUAUGGCAGAUGUCGGAUUCGUCUUUAAAUUUCUGCGUAGCAAACUACACCAGUAACAGAGCCUUGCGGCAAGGAAUCCAAUGAAAGAUAAUAGUAGGAUUUAAAGAUGAAUGAGCUCUUCACAAAGUUAGAGAGAAGCUUAAUAUGUACUCGUAAUAUAAUCGACAAAUCUCCAUAUCA